CCAGCUCCCUGGGUUCAGGUCUGCCCAGGGUUCAGGUCUGCCCAGACCAGUGGCAGGGGAGGCACAGGGUGAGGCCCAGCACCACGCAAGCACCAAGCACUCCUCUCUGUUCCCAGCGAGUCCCGCUGCCAUCAGCCCCGUCCCGGAGGCAGCCCCAGCUCUCUCCAUGUCCUCUCCCAGCUGCCGCCCCAGGCGCUCACACCCCAGGGUCAGGAGGGUAAUCUGCCCUCAAUAUCCUCCACGCUCCUCCACAACAGGACCGGCUGUGCUUAAGUGGUGACAGCUUCUGGGGCACCGUGUCCUGCAGCACGGGCAGCGCAGCAGGGGCUGGGGACAGCGAUGCACAGCAGGAGGUGCCAGGCACAGGCACAGCUCUGCCAUCCCCGGCACGGCAACUGGUGCCACUGCAGCAGCGCAGCCGCGGCAGGAGAAACCAGCGAGGGAAGAGCUCCGGGAGAAGGACAAGGGACAGAGAAGGGGGAAGAUGAAGCAAUCCAUACCAAAGAGGAUGUCCUCUCCAUCAGGCAGGCUCCUGACAGAACUCCUGUUAAGCAGUGGAUUUUAAAAAUGGCUAAAAAAAAGUCCUAAAGUAGAAAUCAGACUUUGGAGGAUGCUUGUGGGAACUCACUUCAGUGAAACAUCCCAUCUCUGUGGGGUCUGACCUGGAGCUUCACCACUGUGAAGACUUUCCUAAGGUCCAGCACAAACCUCCCAGGCCAAAGCUUGUGGCUUCUGCUCACCCAUGGACACAAGGCCACUGGGAGAAUGAUGAUAAAAACCAUUUUGCGGAGGAAGAUACUUCUGAUACAAACUGCUCCAGGAGGGUCUUCCCUGCCAGGAGAGCCCCAGGGAGUUGCCCAACUUGGGGCCAGCAAGCUCACAGCAGGGCAGCAUGACUGGACUGUGAUGACAUGAGGAAGGCUCAACUAUCCACAGGAAUGACAGGACCUCUGGGACCUUUUCACUGCUGACACCCUGAAAAAGUGCUCCCUGCUGUCAAGGGGGAGGUCCCUCCUGCCCUGUCCUACUCCUUCCCUCACCCCCUGCCCCUCCUUGGUGGAA